rnacentral:rRNA from 1 species
UACGUAGGUGGCAAGCGUUGUCCGGAAUUACUGGGUGUAAAGCGCGUGUAGGCGGCAGACCAAGUCGGCGGUGAAAGCGCCCGGCUCAACUGGGCGAGGUCCGUGGAAACUGGUCAGCUGGAGGACGGUAGAGGCGAGUGGAAUUCCCGGUGUAGUGGUGAAAUGCGUAGAUAUCUGGAGGAACACCGGUGGCGAAGGCGGCAUCCUGGACCGGCACUGACGCUGAGGAGCGAAAGCCAGGGGAGCAAACGGG